AUUGAACGCUGGCGGCAUGCCUUACACAUGCAAGUCGAACGGCAGCACGGGAGCAAUCCUGGUGGCGAGUGGCGAACGGGUGAGUAAUAUAUCGGAACGUGCCCAGUCGUGGGGAUAACGUAGCGAAGGCUACGCUAAUACCGCAUACGAUCUAUGGAUGAAAGCGGGGGAUCGCAAGACCUCGCGCGAUUGGAGCGGCCGAUAUCAGAUUAGGUAGUUGGUGAGGUAAAGGCUCACCAAGCCGACGAUCUGUAGCUGGUCUGAGAGGACGACCAGCCACACUGGGACUGAGACACGGCCCAGACUCCUACGGGAGGCAGCAGUGGGGAAUUUUGGACAAUGGGCGCAAGCCUGAUCCAGCAAUGCCGCGUGCAGGAUGAAGGCCUUCGGUUGUAAC
rnacentral:rRNA from 1 species